AUUGAACGCUGGCGGCAGGCCUAACACAUGCAAGUCGAGCGGAUGAAGAGAGCUUGCUCUCUGAUUUAGCGGCGGACGGGUGAGUAAUGCCUAGGAAUCUGCCUGGUAGUGGGGGAUAACGUUCCGAAAGGAACGCUGAUACCGCGUACGUCCUACGGGAGAAAGCAGGGGACCUUCGGGCCUUGCGCUAUCAGAUGAGCCUAGGUCGGAUUAGCUAGUUGGUGAGGUAAUGGCUCACCAAGGCGACGAUCCGUAACUGGUCUGAGAGGAUGAUCAGUCACACUGGAACUGAGACACGGUCCAGACUCCUACGGGAGGCAGCAGUGGGGAAUAUUGGACAAUGGGCGAAAGCCUGAUCCAGCCAUGCCGCGUGUGUGAAGAAGGUCUUCGGAUUGUAAAGCACUUUAAGUUGGGAGGAAGGGUCGUUACCUAAUACGUGACGAUUUUGACGUUACCGACAGAAUAAGCACCGGCUAACUCUGUGCCAGCCGCCGCCGUAAAAC
rnacentral:rRNA from 1 species